UCCGGUUGAUCCUGCCGGACCCGACUGCUAUCAGAGUGGGACUAAGCCAUGCGAGUCAACGCAGUAAUGCGUGGCAUACGGCUCAGUAACACGUAGUCAACAUGCCCAGGGGACGUGGAUAACCUCGGGAAACUGAGGAUAAACCGCGAUAGGCCAAGGUUUCUGGAAUGGACAAUGGCUCAAACCUAUAUGGCCUCUGGAUUGGACUGCGGCCGAUCAGGCUGUUGGUGAGGUAAUGGCCCACCAAACCUGUAACCGGUACGGGCUCUGAGAGGAGGAGCCCGGAGAUGGGCACUGAGACAAGGGCCCAGGCCCUAUGGGGCGCAGCAGGCGCGAAACCUCUGCAAUAGGCGAAAGCUUGACAG
rnacentral:rRNA from 1 species